rnacentral:rRNA from 1 species
GAUGAACGCUGGCGGCGUGCCUAAUACAUGCAAGUCGAGCGAACAGACGAGGAGCUUGCUCCUCUGACGUUAGCGGCGGACGGGUGAGUAACACGUGGAUAACCUACCUAUAAGACUGGGAUAACUUCGGGAAACCGGAGCUAAUACCGGAUAAUAUAUUGAACCGCAUGGUUCAAUAGUGAAAGACGGUUUUGCUGUCACUUAUAGAUGGAUCCGCGCCGCAUUAGCUAGUUGGUAAGGUAACGGCUUACCAAGGCAACGAUGCGUAGCCGACCUGAGAGGGUGAUCGGCCACACUGGAACUGAGACACGGUCCAGACUCCUACGGGAGGCAGCAGUAGGGAAUCUUCCGCAAUGGGCGAAAGUCUGACGGAGCAACGCCGCGUGAGUGAUGAAGGUCUUCGGAUCGUAAAACUCUGUUAUUAGGGAAGAACAAUUGUGUAAGUAACUAUGCACGUCUUGACGGUACCUAAUCAGAAAGCCACGGCUAACUACGUG